GAUUUCAGACGUACCAGUAUCUCCCCCCAUAGACUUGUACUGGCAACCUCCACGUGCUCUUGUGUAAUUACUCCCCUCAGCCAGAGCCCUUUCUGAGUUGGGACAGAUGCAGUGCAUCCAAAAGGACGAGGAGAGUGGAAGAGGGUCAUUAACAGAGAAGCGGCUCUGCAGGUGACCGCGUGCAAUGCUGUUUCUCGUCCUGCCCUCGUUCCCUCCCAGGCUCUGACCAACACGGUGCAGCUCUUACGACCACGUAGCCUAUGGAUGGCGAAGCCCAGAGGCCGCGGGGCAGUCGCUGGGAGGUGCGGCUCAGAGGAGAGGACCUCCGUACACCUUCCAGCAAUAAAAGCAUCUGGUGGAUGCCGCUAUGUAGGCUCUGGUUGCCAAGGUCCAGUUCCAGGUCCACAUGGUACAGGGUACCUUUGCCCCCUUUCUGUCUCUGCCCUUCUCCCCAUGCCGCACGUGGGUUUGGAAACGCAGUCCUGGUGGAGGACACAGGAUGAACAUGCGACCUGUGAGGAUUCAGGAGGCUGCUCGUCUCAUUCAAGGCACCAUUGAUUUGACAGCCCUUUCCCAAGUAUGUUAACAUCCCCGAUUCUCCUCUUCUGCAGACGGUGAGAGCUCCUCCCCACUAAGCCUGACUCCCCAGGGAGCCCUGGUUGUGACAGAUGCGGUGGUCAGACAGGACUGUCUGCUCAGUCAAAAUUCAGAGCAGGACUGGGACUCCUUUUCAUUUCACAAGGUUAAAAAAAAUGGUUCUUCGUUCGUCCUCUGUGGCGCCACUAGGGGAGAAUUUGGAAAAUUUAUACACACAGUCAAUAAGCUUGUCAUCAAAGAGGCACGGGGGCUCCCAGCUGGGAAGAACAAUUGGCAAAUUCUCCAUUCUGGGCUUUGUUUAUCCUCUCAUUGUGAUGCAUAAUCACUGCUUCCUUAAGAAGGUCUGUGAUUCUUAAUUAGAUUUGACUUUGCAAAUCUUGCAUUUUCCUGGAGAGAACAAGCAAACCAAGUGAAUGGUGGUGGCCUUGACCUGGCAACAGAUUGCCCCCAAUCUUGCUUCUGGCAAAAAGCACAGAGGUUGGAUGGCCUGAGCUGACACGUUAUCACAGAAUCCCGGAAAGUGAGGCGCACAGGGACUCACUCUCAUCCACUCUCAGCAUCCCAGCCCGCCCAGCUUCUUCUCCCUUCUGGGUACGUGUCUCUGCUGGGGAUGGGGCGCCCAUUCCGCUCCAGAAAGACCACGAUCCCACGGGGCAACUGCAGCUGCCAGAGACUACUGUCUUUUGCUCAAAAAUUGGUGCUACUGCCAGCCCCACCCCGUCCUUCCCCUCCCCUUUGAAGGGGCACGUGGGCACGUCUGCCACAC
rnacentral:lncRNA from 1 species